CGGCUUCUCCGAUGUUGAUCCUGAGUCUGCAGUUAUCACGCAGGGGUGGCCCCUACCCCUGCGCCCUCCCCUCUGCGGCCUGCUCGCCACCUCUGCCUCUUGGGAGGAAUUUCAGUGCUUGGGCAGGUGCCUCUGCAUCCCGCUUCACAGGCGAGAUGGGCCCAGAGUGCCGGAGGCUCAAGAAUUAAACUGGAUCUGACCCUGGAAUUGGUUCCUGUGGCUCUUGCGGAGCAGCAGACAAGCGUCGGCCGUGCCCUGGCAGCCGCAGAAGUGCUAGGGCAGGACUCAGGCAGGCCUUGUGCACCAGCUGUUGCCAGGUGUGGGGAACACAGUGAACAGAACUGCAUCUCCCGUGAGUCCUGGAGUGUGGAGCCGGCCAGAAAUAGCAGGGCAGAUAAGAUGGCAGCGAACCAGGACCGAGAGGCCGAGGAGGCCCGCGCCCCUUUAUCAGCCCCCAGGAAGGGAAGAGCGGACUGGGGACAGCAGGAGCGGUUCUGCCGUCUCAGCUUCAGGGCUGCCAGCCCACCCAGAAUGCCUGGGUCCUGGCCCAGGGCUCUGACCACUGGGCUGCCCUCCUCCCCUGCCCCUGCAGGGCUUGGCACCAAGAGGGUGACCAGUGUGAGCUGGGUCCCAGCAUCACAGUCACACGGGCCAGCUAGCACCACGCGGCCCUAUGGGGGACCGGGAACACCCAUUCCUGUGACGGUCAUCCCCCUGCACAGACAAGGACAUCG
rnacentral:antisense_RNA from 1 species